UACGUAGGCAGCGAGCGUUGUUCGGAGUUACUGGGCGUAAAGGGUGCGCAGGCGGUGGAGCAAGUCUGUUGUGAAAUCUCCCGGCUUAACCGGGAGGGUGCGGCGGAAACUGUUCUGCUGGAGUGAGGGAGAGGCAAGCGGAAUUCCUGGUGUAGCGGUGAAAUUCGUAGAUAUUCGGAAGAACACCAGUGGCGAAGGCGACACACUGGCCCAAUACUGACGCUGAGGCGCGAAAGCGUGGGGAGCAAACAGG
rnacentral:rRNA from 1 species